ncrna:unclassified sequences AdoCbl variant RNA
GUAUCGAAAUGCAUGGUGGGAAAUCAGUGUGAAAUUCAUUGGCUGUUCCUGCAAAGGUUAAAGUCCUAGCGCCACCCGAUAU